UACGAAGGGGGCUAGCGUUGUUCGGAAUUACUGGGCGUAAAGCGCACGUAGGCGGAUAUUUAAGUCAGGGGUGAAAUCCCAGAGCUCAACUCUGGAACUGCCUUUGAUACUGGGUAUCUUGAGUAUGGAAGAGGUAAGUGGAAUUGCGAGUGUAGAGGUGAAAUUCGUAGAUAUUCGCAGGAACACCAGUGGCGAAGGCGGCUUACUGGUCCAUAACUGACGCUGAGGUGCGAAAGCGUGGGAGCAAACAGGAUAGAUACCCGGAG
rnacentral:rRNA from 1 species